AACGAACGCUGGCGGCAGGCCUAACACAUGCAAGUCGAGCGCGCCUUCGGGUGAGCGGCGGACGGGUUAGUAACGCGUGGGAACGUACCCUUUUCUACGGAAUAGCCUUUGGAAACGAAGAGUAAUACCGUAUACGCCCUUUGGGGGAAAGAUUUAUCGGAGAAGGAUCGGCCCGCGUUAGAUUAGAUAGUUGGUGGGGUAACGGCCUACCAAGUCUACGAUCUAUAGCUGGUUUUAGAGGAUGAUCAGCAACACUGGGACUGAGACACGGCCCAGACUCCUACGGGAGGCAGCAGUGGGGGAAUCUUAGACAAUGGGCGCAAGCCUGAUCUAGCCAUGCCGCGUGAGUGAUGAAGGCCUUAGGGUCGUAAAGCUCUUUCGCCUGUGAUGAUAAUGACAGUAGCAGGUAAAGAAACCCCGGCUAACUCCGUGCCAGCCGCCGCGGU
rnacentral:rRNA from 1 species